rnacentral:rRNA from 1 species
UACGUAGGUGGCAAGCGUUGUCCGGAUUUACUGGGCGUAAAGAGCGCGCAGGCGGUCGUUCAAGUCGCGUGUGAAAGCCCCCGGCUCAACUGGGGAGGGUCACGCGAUACUGAUCGACUCGAAGGCAGGAGAGGGUAGUGGAAUUCCCGGUGUAGUGGUGAAAUGCGUAGAGACUGGGAAGAACACCGGUGGCGAAGGCGGCCAUCUGGACCGCAACUGACGCUGAGGCGCGAAAGCGUGGGGAGCAAACAGG